GAUGAAGAACGUAGCGAAAUGCGAUACGUAGUGUGAAUUGCAGAAUUCAGUGAACCAUCGAAUCUUUGAACGCACAUUGCGCCCGCCGGCAUUCCGGCGGGCACGCCCGUCCGAGCGUCGCUUUUACCACCCUCGGGCCGCUCUUCCCCCUAGCGGGAUGCGCGCGCCCGGCCUUGGGGGCACCCGCGGUACGCCGCGGGUCCCCUGAAACACAGCGGCGGCAGCGCCUGCGGAAAUCCCCUGCGUAGUACUACAUCUCGCACCGGGCCGCGCGUGCAGCUUGCCUUGCGACACGUACAACGUACCAAGGUUGACCUCGGAUCGGGCGGGGUUACCCGCUGAACUUAAGCAUAUCAAUAAGCGGAGGA
rnacentral:misc_RNA from 1 species